UGUGAGGUCUUGACAAGCUGUAACUUGUCUGU
rnacentral:piRNA from 1 species